UUAGUGGGCAGAGUAUGGUAGUGGGCAGGGGAUGUUAGCUGCCCACUAACAUCCCCUGCCCACUACCAUACUCUGCCCAAUACC
rnacentral:pre_miRNA from 1 species